UAAUGAGUCUAUCAUUAUUCCAGUAUUCACAUCCCAAUUCCUUCACGGUCUUGCCUCUAUUCGUCUCUCGUCUCAUCCUCUCCACCUCUCUCUCCGUCUCAGUCUCCGGCCUCCGCCUCUCACGAUCUCACCUCGACAACUAUGUUCUUCAAUCUCGACGGCCCGACCUCUCUUCCGAGUUCCAACGUCAGGUAAAUAUAUAUGGCAUACUACUAAUGUUCAAUCCCUUCCUCACACUUACGGAUCUGGAAACAGGACAUGUAAAUUAAUGUAAAUCUAGAAACAUGACGCCUUUCCUUGGAUCAAGUUGGUGAUUUUUGAAACUGGGUCUUUAUUAUUUCUUUCAAUUUUGGUGCAUAAAUGGUUGCCCGGUUAAACAAUUUGAAGAAACCGGCGCACUUAUGACUUUCUGUUGUUGAUUGUAAUUUGUAAUGUUGUAACCUGUUUAGUGUUAAGGUAACUGUUAAUUAUGGAAGCCUUUUAUUUCAGUUAUUCGGUUAUUAGCUAAUUCGAUUAACAAUUCGGAUACUAAAAAUGCGUUAAUUUCGAUUUUCAGCUAUAACCGAAUAGUUUAUUCGGUUCGGUUUGGUUAUAACCGAAUGCUCACUCCUAAUUACAAUUGUAUUAAUCAUUUAAGAUCAAGUUUACUAGCUUUAUCAAUAUUCGUGAUAUUAUAGAUUCAGUUCGACUCGAUUUACACUUCUAUGAGUGCAUUUUAAGCAAACAAAUUUCUUCUCACUUUUGAGAAGAAAGUUAAAGAAAAGAAAAUAAAACAUUCUCUUCUCUUCUCUUUUUUUUUUCUUUAAUUGAAAAACUCUCAGCCACUAUGUUAUUUUGUUAAGAAAAGAAGCUAAGGAAAAUCUAUUCGAAUAUCUCCAAUUCUUAUAUUUGUGAGUUUUUUAAGAAAGAACGAAAGAGAUUUUGAAAUAAAAUUAAUUUUAUUGUUGAGUUAAAACCUUCACCGAAAAGGUAGAGGAUUUAGAAAGACGAUUACAUAUUUUACAUUACCAAAAAUAAUAUUUAAAAUAUUAAAUAAUAGAAAUUGAUAUUUUUAUAAAUUUUUUUUGAUAUUGUCAACAUAUUAAUCAUUAAAAAUUCAACACAUCAACUAAUAAUUAUAUAUGUAAAAAUAUAAAAAAUGACGUAGAAAUAUCAAUUUCCUUAAAUAAUAUACCAUUGUUCUCUCCUCUUCACUCUGUUGAGUUCUACCGUGCUUGCUCCGCCGUUCGCUUGUCUGCCAUUAAUUUUCCGGUUUGCUGUUUUUUUGUUGAAAUCUCUGGUAAGAUCCCCAAAUCAUGUACCCUAAUUUUUUCAAAUUGAUAACUCAAAUUUGUUUUAAUCAAAUUUUAUCCUCUACUCGUUCAUCUUUAUUCAUUACCUUGUUUUCAUGAAUAUGGAUCCUCAAUAUUGUGAGGUAAAUGAAUUGAUAGCUUUUCUGAGAUUCUUUUUCCUAUGAUGGUAGUUGGGGGUUUUAGUCCUUUCGGGGUUCCAUAGAUUAAUACUCUCUGUAGAAUCCAGUAGCUAGAAAUAGUUUUACUGUCUGUGUCCUUGGAUCUAUCUCUAUUUUUGUGUUGAAUGUGGAGUUUGUGUGAAAUGUGGGAUCAUUCAAUCUCUCUCUUUUUAAUUUGUUUUCCUGUUGUGAAGGUGCAAUUAUGAAGCAGAGUCUGUGAUGUAUUGAAGCCCACCAUUAACUAUUAGCUUUAUUUUUGUUAUGAUAAAUUCAAAAAGUCAUUGUCCCAAAGUUAUUUGGUUUCACAAAUUAACUGACAAAUUAACUUUUAGCCAAAUUAACUGUCACAAAGAAAAUGACAUAGCCUUCUAUGGAAUUGGAGGAGUAUUCCGGGUAUCAAUUGUUAGAAAGUUAGGUUGGUUAUUUUUUUUUUCUUAGUUACAAUAGUGGUAUAGGGAUUCUUAUAACUAGCAUAAUAUACAAAUAGUACUAUAGUAAAUAUACUGCUGCUGCUUUCUAAAGUGAAGUUGUCCAAAAGUAUUAAAUGGGUAUGCUACAAAUAAUGUGAGCUUUUUUUGGUGUCCCUAUGGGAGUAUUCUGUAGUCAAAGUUGAUUAUAAAGUAUUUAAUAGUCAAUUUAUUUUGUACCAUUUAUUUUUCAUAGAUGUAAUUUAGAAAAAAGAAAAAAAAUCUUCAUACGCACAUUUAUGGUACACAAGACGAUAUUUUUGAGAAGGGAUGUUAUCCUCUUGACUAUUUGAUAAUUGAUAUUUCAUGUGCGUGUGCAUGUUAGAUAUGAUGUAGUAUUCUCGACUCAAUAAUAACACCUCUUGUCUAGUUCAAUGCGGGUGGCAUGUGGUACGAGGAUGUGGGGUGGGGGAGAAGGAAAAGUGAAUGGUGAAUAUAGGUUGGUUUUCCCUAAAUUAGGGCAUGUUAGGACAAGGCCUCCUCCCCCCAAAACAGGGUCACUCAUUGACAAAUGUGACCUGUCUUUGUUGUAUUCGAGUCCUGGACCAAGAGCUACUAGCUACCUUACCUGUCAUUAUUACUAAUAGUAGUAUUUAUUUUUGGCGGUGGCAGAAAUCUAUGUAUUUUGAAAGGUUUUCAUUUUCAUCAGUCACCCUCAUCUAAUCUAAUCUAAUCUAAUCUAAUCUAAUCAAUUUCAUCAUUAUUCAUUCAUUCAUGUCAUUAUUACUAAUAUAUAUAUAUAUAUAUAUAUAUAUGAUAAUCAAAUGCAUUUGAACUCUUGUAAAACCUUGUGUAUUAUAAUUAUAAUGACAUUCUUCUGUCUUGCAGACAACUUGGUAUUCUUAAAAUUGAUAGCAUAACCCAUAAAGAGGAUUAUAAUUUGAUGUAGGUAUGAGCAGAACAUUAUGUUUCUGGUCUUCGUCAUAAUUUGAUGCAGCUCUUGUCCUUCUGUUAGAAUUUUUUUUUGUGGGAGCAAAAAUAUUUGACUAUUAGAUGACCUUUUUCGUAUUGGACAGAGAAUUUAUUGUAGUCAUAAUUAGAGAAGUUAUUACUCUUCUUACGCACUAUUAUUUAGGGUUUUAUUAGGGUUCUUUUAAAUACUUAUUGUGUAAUAUAUCUACCAACCUUGUGAAUUUCUUCCUUUCUUUCUUUUUCACACCCACCCCACUCAGACUUGGAUAGAGAAAUUUCUCAGUAGUUUGAGUUUGACCCUUCUGAUCCAUUCUAUUUGUUGUUGUUGUUGUUGAGGAGGAGGAGGCAGAGGCAAGUACUACUAGCCUAGAUAUUAGGUAAUGUCACAUCACAAUUUCGUCCUUAUAUAUACACUGUAUUUUACUUGCUUUCUUUCUUUAAUUUGUUUGUGUACCUACCCGCACAGAAUACAAAUCGAUAUAAGUAUAUGUGAAAGAUGCCAUCUUUAUCUUUUCCCUCUUCAUUCAUUUCAUUUCGUUUGCAGAUUUCCAGGAUUUGAUAUACUCCUUUCUAACUAUAUAGAAGAAGGAGAAGAAGAAUGGCUCAGCUUUGUUGCUCUCCUCUCCCCAAUCACUACCACCAUCUCAACCCAAAUCGCGCCAUUUCCCCUCUUCCUGAUUAUAACAAUCUCACUUUCUCUUCCUUCUCCCUACCCUUCUUUGCUCCAUCUCUCUCCAUCUCUCCUUUUCCAACUAAUCCAUUCAACUUGCCCAAAUCCCAUAUUCCUUGAUAGACUCCACGGCACGCUUGCGUGAGGUGGUUGUUGCCCGGAUCGUUUCUAGCACAGUUGUUGGGUGAAUUGCUUGCAAUAUCUUAACCCCUCGUCUAUACUUUAGACGGUAAUCUUGGUACAAUUGCUCGCGUUCGGAAUCUGCGUUUAAUGGACAUCAACAACACCUUGACCCCUCGCUUAUAUUGAAGCGGUAAUCUCGAUACAAUCGACGAUUGAUGCGGUAGAAGACGCCACACACAACUAUGAACUGUUGUAUGAUAAGUCAAAUUGAAUCUCAAAGAAAUUACUAAGAAAAUACUAUUUUCUUAGGAAUUCUUCAAAGAACCAAAAGUAGAGAAUAAACUCACAAAUAUAUUGAAGAAUGAAUAAUGUGUUUGAUUACAUCAACUUAGACCUCUAUUUAUACUACUCAAAACGAUUCAAAUCCUAAUAGGAAUUUAUAAACUAUAACCCUAAUAGAAGUCAAUUUGGAAAAGAAUUCUAAUUAAAAAAAGAAGUCCUAAUUACAAUAGAAUUAUAAAAAUCUAAAAAUCAUUGCUGAAUAUGUAAUUCGUGGGCUUAGUAAGAGCAGAAUUGGGCUUGUAUUAAAUUGACCCAAAUUUGUGUCUCAUCCUUCUCUUUGGGUUUCCUUGUGUUAGCUUCAGCCCAAACAUCUUGGAUCAAUCCAUUGAGAUCUUGUUUGAACCUUUUAGUUCUAGCCUUCCUUGAUCCCCACGUCCCUUUAGUCUUGUUUGGGUCCAUGCAUGCCAUGUCCUCAUCAUUCCUCUCCUCUUGAAAAGGAUUUGUCCUCAAAUUGUCACCUACAUCAAACGGACUUAGAUCAGUAACGUUAAAUGUGGUACUAACAUUAUACUCAACUGGCAAAUCCAAUUUAUAGGCAUUGUCAUUGAUACGCUUGAGAACUUGAAAUGGACCAUCUCCCCUCGGAAGCAAUUUCGAACGUCUUUGAACGGGGAAUCUUUCUUUCCGUAUAUGUAACCACACCCAAUCUCCGGGUUCAAAGAUCACUUGAUGUCGUCCCUUGUUCGCGUGCUUAAUGUACUGUUCCGUCCUCCGUUCAAUCCGUUCACAAAUAUCGAAUCAUGAUCAUGCUUAGACCUAGGUAAACCCAACACAAAGUCCAUAGAAAGAUCAAUCCAAGGUUCAUUAGGAAUAGGCAAUGGUGUAUACAAUCCAUAGGGUUGAACACAAGAUUUAGCUUGGCGACAAGUAGUUAUCACAUAUUCUUUCCACAUCUCGUUUCAUAUGAGGCCAAUAAAAAUGUUCUUUCAAAAUAGUAAAAGUUUUAUCAACGCCAAAAUGUCCCAUUAAACCACCCCCAUGUGAUUCCCUAACCAACAACUCACGCAAAGAACAUGCAAGAAUACAUAAUUUAUUUUCACGAAACAAGAAUCCGUCAAUUCUAAAGUAUUUACCCACAACAUUCUUUUCACAAAUUUUAAACUCUUCACCGAAAUCAAGGUCAUUAUCAUAUAACUCUUUAAUUCGUUCAAACCCAAUCAAUUUCGUAUCAAGAGUAUUUAACAAAACAUACCUGCGAGACAAAGCAUCUGCAACGACGUUCUCCUUACCUUGCUUAUAUCGAAUAACAUAUGGAAAUGUCUCGAUAAAUUCCAUCUAUCGUGCAUGCCUUUUGUUCAACUUGUGCUGACCCUUAAAUUUUUCAAUGAUUCAUGAUCGGUGUCAGUGGAUCACAAACUCCUUAGGCCACAAGUAAUGUUGCCAUGUCUCCAAAGCUCUAACCAAAGCGUACAUCUCUUUGUCAUAUGUAGGAUAGUUCAAAGCUGCCCCACUCAACUUUUCGCUAAAAUACGCCACUGGUUUCCCUUCUUGCAUCAACACAGCUCCAAUCCCUAAACCUGAAGCAUCACACUCAAUCUCAAAAGUUUUAGCAAAGUUAGGCAAAAUAAGUAAAGGAGCAUUUGUCAAUUUAUCCUUAAUCAAAUUAAAUGCUUUUUCCUGUUCAUCACCCCACUUAAAGCCCACACUUUUCUUGAUGACCUCGGUCAAUGGUGCUGUAAUCUCACUGAAAUUCCGAACAAAACGUCGGUAGAAACUUGCGAGUCCAUGAAAGCUUCGUACUUGACUCACAUUGGUUGGACUCGGCCAAUCCCGGAUCGCACGUAUUUUCUCCUCAUCAACUUGGACUCCCUGUGAACUCACAACAAAGCCAAGAAAAACAAUUCUAUCCGAACAAAACGUGCAUUUUUCCAUGUUAGCAAAUAACUUUUCUUUCCUAAGUACAUCUAAAACAGAUUUUAAAUGCAAUGCAUGAUCUUCCAAGUUUUUGCUAUAAAUCAAGAUAUCAUCAAAAUAAACUACGACAAAUUUUCCAAUGAAUGGACGCAAAACAUGGUUCAUUAAUCUCAUGAAAGUGCUGGGUGCAUUAGUUAAACCAAAAGGUAAUACUAACCACUCAUAAAGACCAUAUUUAGUUUUAAACGCUGUUUUCCAUUCAUCACCCUCUUGCAUUCUAAUUUGAUGAUAACCACUUUUUAAAUCAAUUUUUGAAAAUAUGCAAGACCCAUGUAAUUCAUCUAACAUGUCAUCUAAACGAGGAAUGGGAUGUCGAUAUUUUACCGUAAUGUUAUUUACCGCUCGACAAUCGAUGCACAUCCUCCAUUUUUCAUCCUUUUUCGGCACUAGAAUCACCGGAACUGCACACGGCUCAUACUUUCUCUCACGAAUCCUUUCCCCAUCUGCUCGUCAACUUGCCUUUGUAACUCCUUCGUCUCCUCGGGAUUACUCCGAUAAGCUAGGCGGUUUGGAAUCGUCGCACGGGGAACAAAAUCAAUUUGAUGCUCAAUUCCCCGAAUAGGUGGUAGUCCAUGAGAAAGCUCUUCGGGAAAUACAUCUUUGAAUUCCUGUAAGAGAGAUGAAACAACAGUAGGCACAGAUUCAUUAAUGUUAGUAUUCAAAAGCGCCUCUUUAUACCGAAGUAAAAUCAUAGGCUGUUUAGAAAUCAAAGUUCUUCUCACAUCACUCUUUUUUGCUAGUAUAUUUGUUUUCUCUCAUCUUUCUUUUUCUCUCUUUUUUUCUUCUUGAUUUUUCUUUUCUUCACUCUCUUUUCUUUUGUACAUAAUCUUUUUGCAAAUGAAUUUGAUCGUCAUGUACUUGUUGUGGUGACAAAGGACGCAAAACGAUUUUCUUCUUGUCGUAAACAAAGGAAUACACAUUGGUAAAUCCAUCACGUUGAACCCUCCUAUCAAACUGCCAUGGUCUACCCAAUAACAUAUGCCCCGCCUGCAUAGGCACCACAUCACAAAAUACCUCAUCAACAUACCGACCAAUAGCAAAUGGAACUAACACCUGUUUUGUUACUUUUAUGUCUGCAUUAUCAUUGAGCCACUGCAAACGAUACGGCUGUGGAUGUUUGGUAGUAGAUAACCCUAAUUUCUCCACCAUCGUAGUGCUUGCCACAUUUGUACAGCUGCCUCCAUUUAUGACUACACAACAGAUUUUCCCAUUCACAAGACAUCGAGUAUGGAAUAGAUUUUCCUGCUGUUCACUGCUCUUCUCCUUAACCUGCGUACUAAGUGCUCUUCUUGUAACCAGAAUUUCACAAUGUAUCGCAUCCUCACCUAUCUCCUCUAAUGGUGGCAUAGAAUCAGUGUCGCUCUCUUCCUCCUCGGUCUCCACAUCUCCAUUGUCAAGCAACAACAUUCUCCUCUGAUUUGGACAUUGGCUAGAAAUAUGUCCCCUGCCUUGACACUUAAAGCAUACAAUAUCCCGAUUACGCCCAAAAGAAGGUUGUUCAUUUUUACCUUGUAUAUCUCGGUUAGUUGAUCCUUGCUUAGGUUCCAUCUUUGGUUUGAUCGCAGCUGUCUUUUCCUCUCACUUUGCCAAGUUAGGUCUCCAUGUUGAACUAACAUUAGAUUGUCCUCGUUGUCCUCCUCGCCUCUUGAGUUGUUUCUCUAUCUUAGUAGUCAUAUGUACCAGUUCUUCUAACUCCAAAUGAUGUUGUCGUUCAACCAAGUCUGCAAUCUCCCAGUUCAAUCCUGCCGAGAACCUUGCCAUCGCUGUUUCAUUAUCCUCCAUCAAAUUAGCUCGAUCCUUCAACAUUUCCAUCUCCCUGUAAUAUUCAUCCACACUCCGACUUCCUUGUUUAAGAGUUUGCAAACUACGAACGAUCUCCCAUUGAUAGUAUGCUGGUACAAACCUCUUUUUCAUAAUAGCUUUCAUCUCCACCCAAGUUGUAAUCGGCUGCUCUUCACACCUUCUCCGAUUAGCUGUCAACUGAUCCCACCAUAUCAAUGCAUAUCCAGAAAACUCCGUAACGGCCAGUUUGACUUUCUUAAGGUCUGAAUAGUUGUGACAGUCAAAUAUUCGCCCCAGGAUCACCCGUGCCUUGGAAAGCUGGAAUCUUCAUUUUUAUGCUAUCCAAAUUGCCAUCUUCUCUGUCCUGACCUCUUCUUUCCCUAGCACCUCCGUGUCUUUGAUGUCGAAAAUUAGAUUCACGAUCUUCCGCUGCACUACUGUCCUCAUCGUAAGGGUCUUCCUUUCUUGCGUCAGUUUGUUGUGUCCUCGUUUUGUUUUGCAUCCCAUGAGUGUUUUGGGAUAGCUCAACCAUAGACACCCUCAUAUCUUCUAAUUGUUCUUGCAUUUACUCCAUAGUCUUUCUCAAUUUUCGAUCACAUUCUUUAUGCAUGGCUUCCAUCUGGAAUUUCAAUUCAGCUGUUGAGGGUUGUUCCUCACAAAUUCCUUUAUCCUUCGAGUUAGACAUAUUUCCUGCAAAAUAAGGGUUAGUAGAAAACAAUUUUCUCACCACUCCCUUACGUGUUUCGCUUGAAUCAAUGGUUCACUCGUGUAUAUUCUCAAUAAAUUGACUUUUAUCCUCGAUUAAUCUCACCACUAAGCCUUUUACCUCAAAAUAUUCUCUCUAAUAGAUUAUUCUUGAAUUCCCCUAGCAAAAUUCUUGGGUUUACUAAUCGAUUCAAAAAUUACUUAUGACGAAACAAAAUAUAUAUAUAUGGUGUGAUUAUCAGAAUACCACAAAGUCACCGAUCGAUUGCCUUGCACUCCUCUUAUAUGCUUCAAAUUUGUAAAUUGUAGCUCCGUUUCAGAAUUAAUGAUGAUGGAACGGUAUGAACUCUUGGUUGGAAUUUGAUGAUUUGAUGGUGUGCUACAAGUUUGGUUAGCACAAUGGAAAUAAAAUCUAUUUUUUUUUUCUUUUUUUUUUUACAAUAUAUAUUUCAACAGAAAAUUAAAGAUACGUAACUUGUUAGAAAGGCUUAGCUUUGAUACCAAAUAAUGGACGACCACCUCACGCAAGCGUGCCGUGAAGUCUAUCAUUCCUUG
rnacentral:lncRNA from 1 species